rnacentral:lncRNA from 1 species
CCUUCUCGUUGAUGUCGCGCACAAUCUCCUGCUUGGCCGUGAUGGUGAAGCUUGGUCUGGAAGCUCCGAGUUUAUCUUGGGAACUCAAGAGGAGAGGAUCACCCAGUUCACAGGUAUUUGAGGAUACAAACCCAUUGCUGGGCUCGGCUUUAAAAGUCUUAUCUGAAAUUCCUUGUGAAACAGAGUUUCAUCAAAGCCAAUCCAAAAGGCCUAUGUAAAAAUAACCAUUCUUGCUGCACUUUAUGCAAAUAAUCAGGCCAAAUAUAAGACUACAGUUUAUUUACAAUUUGUUUUUACCAAAAAUGAGGACUAGAGAGAAAAAUGGUGCUCCAAAGCUUAUCAUACAUUUGUCAUUAAGUCCUAGUCUCAUUAAUUGUUUUCAAGCUUUUCGCCUACAUUUUAGACUAACCCUGCUUAUUCCUGUGAAUCAAGUAGUGGUCUCCUGCAGCUUGGAAGAAAAAAUAAGGGAUGGGUAAUGUAAAAAUCUGGAUCAAUAUACUGGUUCUGGGCAAUUAUCCUGCAAAUUCUGCCAGGUAAUAAAAGUGAGUAGGGUGCCCAUAAUCCGGAAGUUUCUUUGUUUAGGAAAAUAAAAACAAGGAACUUCAUAGACCCCCCCCAAAGGGGAAUUCUAUAUCUUGACAAGUAAAAUUUUAGAUGGAAAUUAUCUACAACACCACACUUACGGAAAUUGCUAUCCUCACUCUAUUAUUUGCAAAAGGGUUAUACACAGUAGCACCUUCUAACUGAAGUAUUAAACAGAGUUUCCAUUGCUGUCGUAUUUUGCUUAAUUAUUAUCCUUAUAGCAGGGAUAAUAGUUACUAACAAAAAGGAAGCAUGAAAGUUUUACUAUCACUGAGCCUGGUAGGACUUUUUAUUGGGUUUAGUGAUGCAGUUUUAAAUGAAACAUGCCGCUUUUGGAUUAAUACCUCUAGUAAAGGAAAAUUUACAGAUACUUAAAAAUCAAAUCAAAAUUAUUGAUAGGCUCAGGAAAAAUGCCAGCUUCAGCCCUGAGUGGCUACAAACCCUCUUUAAUAAAUUCCAGUCUUCUUUAUGGAAUUGGUUAACGCCUUUAUUAAGCCCUCUCUUGCUUAUAUGUCUUGUAUUGAUAUUUGGACUCUGUAUAUACAAUACUAUAACUCGAAUUGUUUCUUCUCGCCUAGAAGCAAUCAAACUCCAAAUGGUGCUGUAAACUGAACCACACAUGGACAGGCCAUUCUUCCGAGGACCCUUAGAUUGAUCCCAGGGGGAGCCCUAGCUGCUAUUCCCCAUUCAACGCCCCUUUUCAGCAGGAAGUAGCCAGAAGGAGUCGCCGCCCAAAAUCCCCUAACAGCAGUUAGUGUGGCAUCUCCACAGGAAGUAAUGUUGUAGGAGUUACUAAGAAAUUAUUUUAGGCAGAUAGAGAGGAAAAGGGGUCCUUGGGAAGUUUUCAUUUUUUAAAGCAUCUCUGGAAAAGUUUCUUGUAAAGCCCCGGCUCUUAGAGCCAGGCUGGCAACCUUUGAUAUGCAAAUGUAAGCCAUUAGAAACCAGGUCCACCCAGGCCAGGUGUGGUGGCUCACGCCUGUAAUCCCAACACUUUGGGAAGCCUAGGCAGGUGGAUCACCUGAGGUCAGGAGUUCGAGACCAGCCUGGCCAACAUGGUGAAACCCCGCCUCUAAUAAAAACACAAAAAACUAGCCAGGUGUGCUGCUGUGUGUCUGUAAUUCCAGCUACUUGGGAGGCUGAGGCAGGAGAACUGCUUGAACCCAGGAGGCAGAGGUUGCAGUGAGCUGAGAUUGCAUCAUUGCACUCCAGCCUGGGCGACAGCAAGACUCUGUAAAAAAAAAAAAAAAAAAAAAAAAAAACAGCCAGGCGUGGUAGCACGCCUGUAGUCCCAGCUACUUGGGAGGCUGAGAUGGGAGGAUCACCCUCGACUGGGGAAGUUGAGGCUGCAGUGAGCUGAAAUCGCACCACUGCACUCCAGCCUGGGUGACAGACUGAGACCCUGUCAAAUAAAUAAUGUAUGUAUGUAUAUAUGUAUGUAUGUAUGUUAACCUCAUCCCAAAACAUCCUCACAGAACAUCCAGAAUAAUGUUUGACCAAAUAUCUGGGCACCAAUGGCACAUUCAAGUUGACACAUAAAAUUAACCCUCACAAUACCGUACUGUACAACUUUUGGAGUGAAGCUGGAAUGUCAUCGCAUUUCCAAGACUAACUCAGUGUCCACAAAUGAUGCUUAAGUCAUGAGGAUCAUCUCGGAUUUGGAUUUGGAUGCCUGUCAAGCCCUCACUCUUCAGACUAAAUGUCUGAUUUGCAUGGAGAAUUAUCAAGAGAAGCAACAAUGCCAAGCAGACUAUUCCAGGUCAAAAUAGUCAAAUUAAUAAUUCAUAAAUUAUUAUAUGUUUUGAAGGUAUUGCAAAAUUAAAGUUGCAAGAACAGUACAGAUAACUUUUUUCCUGAACCAUUUGAGAGUAGGUUGCAGACCUGGUGCCCCAUCAUUUCUGAAUAUUUUAGUGUGCAUUUUCUACAAACAAGGACAUUUUCCAGCAUAACCACAAUGCACCCAUCAAUGUCGUGAAAUUAAUGUUGGUACAUUACUACCACCUAGUCCUCAGACCCUAUUCAAAUUAUACCAGUUAUCAUAAUAGUUUCUUAUAAUUUAUAGCAAAAUGAUCCAAACCAGGAGCAUGCAUUGCAUUUUUAUGAAUUUUUAAAACAAUUAAGUCUGUGUAGUGAGUGAAGCCACAGUGAUAGGAAUAUAUAAAGGCUUUGCAUCUAGAAUUUGUUCUGAAAACCCUGAGAUUCAAGUAGUACAUUAUUUCAUUUACUAUUUUACACAGAGAAGCCCUCAUUUUUAAGAGUUUGCCUUUCUGAUUUCCACCGGAAAUGAUACUAUCAGUAUCAUACUCAGAAUCUUAAUUACAUACAAGGCACUAACCUCUCACCUGUUUUCAGCUUUGUGUAAAGACAAGGGAUCAAAACAUCCCUUUCUGCUAUUUCAUACUUAAGUGUGGGAGCUGAUCCAAAGGAAGAAUAGUUUCAAAAGUUUGUAGCAAAAAAAAUUUAAAAGGUGAAGAUUUUUUCCUUGAAUGAUUCUCACCUGGCAGAUCUAUGGAAAGAUUAGCUGACUCUUUGGAUCCCUGAAUAUAGUUAAUAGAAAUUUGGAAGGACCAUGUCAAAAUUAACUAAUGUGAACUGACAAAGAUUUGGUGUUCAAAGCAAAAAUUAAACUUUGGAAAAGUGAGCAAGUACUUAAUCAGAAACAAAAAAAAAAAAAAGAAAGGAAAAGUUAGGUGAAAAUGGUUUCCAGGUGUUGUUGCUGUUAUAGUUUGAAUCAUAAAAGUUGUUAAAAGUCUGCUGUAACAAACCAUCAUAGACUGGGUGACUUAUAAAGAACAAAAAUGUAUUUCUCACAGUUCCAGAGGCUGGGAAGUCUAAGAUCAAGGCAUCAGCAGAUUCAGUGUCUGGUGAGGGCCCACUUUCUGGUUCAUAGAUGGCACCUUCUCACUGUCUCCCCACGUGAUGGAAGGGGCAAGAGGUCUCUCUUGGUACUCUUUUAUUAAGGGCACUAAUCCCAUCCAUGGGGCUCCACCUUCAUGACCUAUUCAUCUCCCAGAGGCCCUACCUGCAGAUACCAUCGUAUGGGGGAUUUGAUUUCAGCCUGUGAAUUUGGGGGAAGCGGGACAAACAUUCGUUUUGUAGCAAAAGGAGUAGAGUAAUAUCUGCCAAUAACUGGAGGAAAGAAUUGUUCUUUUAAAACUAUUAAAUUGUUUAAUGGGAUUUAAAUGAUUUCAGGAAUGAAAUGGAAAUCCUGGUAAUGGGUAGAAACAUAGGUAAAUUCUCCUUUUCCACUUACCACCACCUGUGUGAACAACAAUCAUUUCUCAUUAAUAGUCAAGAAUUUGAAGAGAUCAUGAGUAAAAAGUCUUGAUCAGAAAUUGUGUAUAGCUGUUUCCAGCAUAAAACCUUAUAUAAAAUGCAUAUUCAUAGAAGAUGCUCAAGUAUGUCAUGAAAAAUAUGAAGUUUAUUUAAAUAUUUAUACAAAUUAAAGAUUUACUGUAUUCUCUAACAGCGCGUAUUUUCUUUUUUGUAAUAACUAUAUGAAAUAAAUACAAAGUAACACGUUUUUACCAAGCCCCCUUCCCAUCCUUCUCAUCACCCUCAAACUCCCUCCAAAUAGAGUCAGAGAAACAGCCAGAGGGAUGUCUCCACUGAGACACAGGGAGGUCUUGCACCCAGGCAGUUCAGCAGUUCCUGGGCGGGUGGCCCUUCCCAUCUGAGUACCCCUCAAUGUGCCUGCUCCUCCUGGGAUCCUUUCUGCUCCCUUGGGCCUCUGUUUUUGGUCUGCAAUGGUUGGUUAUGUAGAGGGAUCAGUAUUGGGGUUGUCCCAAGCCAGGCUACAGGUUGAGCAGGUAGCCACAUAGGCCACAUAGCAGGACGGGCCCAGCUGGGGACUCUGAUGUCUGCAAUUAGGGGUGGCAGGAAGUAAUGGAUGCACAGGCGCUGACUUGGCCUGGCCUUAAGCCUUAGUCUAGCGGAAAGGUCUGGCUGUUUACCUGCCUUCCUAUUUGGAGCUGAUCCCAGGACCAAACGGGAUGCCAUCGUACCAAGGGCAGGGAGAUGAAGGGAGGCCCUCAGAAGAGAAUGAGGCCUAAAUGCCAGGUAAAGGGCAGGAAGGGGUUCAAUCCCAGCAGCACCUCCUGGUGGUAGUUGGGGAAAUAAAAUGGCCAGAGAGGAGACUGGCCCUGAAGGCAUCUCCAGAGCUUGAGUCCCUCAGUAGCCAACCUGAGCUCCUAAACCCCUCUGGACUAGGUCCCCUUCUCCACUUAACCUGCCUCCUCAAGAAAG